UACGAAGGGGGGCUAGCGUUGCUCGGAAUCACUGGGCGUAAAGCGCACGUAGGCGGAUUGUUAAGUUCAGGGGGUGAAAUCCUGGAGCUCAACUCCAGAACUGCCUUUGAUACUGGCGAUCUCGAGUCCGGGAGAGGUGAGUGGAACUGCGAGUGUAGAGGUGAAAUUCGUAGUAUAUCGCAAGAACACCAGUGGCGAAGGCGGCUCACUGGCCCGGUACUGACGCUGAGGUGCGAAAGCGUGGGGAGCAAACAGG
rnacentral:rRNA from 1 species